rnacentral:rRNA from 1 species
AGAACGAACGCUGGCGGCAUGCCUAAUACAUGCAAGUCGAACGAACUCUUCGGAGUUAGUGGCGCACGGGUGCGUAACGCGUGGGAAUCUGCCCUUGGGUUCGGAAUAACAGUUGGAAACGACUGCUAAUACCGGAUGAUAUCGAAAGAUCAAAGAUUUAUCGCCCAGGGAUGAGCCCGCGUAGGAUUAGCUAGUUGGUGAGGUAAAGGCUCACCAAGGCGACGAUCCUUAGCUGGUCUGAGAGGAUGAUCAGCCACACUGGGACUGAGACCACGGCCCAGACUCCUACGGGAGGCAGCAGUAGGGAAUAGUUGGACAAUGGGCGCAAGCCUGAUCCGAGCAAUGACCGCGUGAGUGAUGAAGGUCCGUUAGGGUUGUAAAGUCUUACUUUACCCGAG